ensembl:snRNA RNA, U6atac small nuclear 21, pseudogene
GUGUUGUAUGAAAGGAGAGAAGGUUAGCACUCCCCUUGACAAGGACGGAAGAGGCUCCAGGGCCUUUACAAUACAUAUACGGUUAAGGCAUUGCCACCUACCUUGUGGCGUCUUACCCAAUUUUUAU